AGACACACAGAUCGGCUGGUUGUGAAAACGAGUGCGGCACCACCAUGACCAUAUUGCAGGCAAACAAAGCAUUAACACCUGCAGUAUUGAAACCACAGCCUCUCUGACCUGCUGCCACCCAGAAAAAGCAUCUGGAUCCAUGAUCUAGACAAUGGUAAGAGGAUGUGCUUUGUGGCCCGUGUUCUGGGUGGAAGCUGUGCCACUUAACUUCUCAGAAAAAGCAUCUGGAUCCAUGAUCUAGACCAUCGUAAGAGGAUGUGCUUUGUGGCCCAUGUUCUGGGUGGAAGCUGUGCCACUUAACUCCUCAGGCAAGUUCCUUAAUUUCUUCAUCUG
rnacentral:lncRNA from 1 species